rnacentral:rRNA from 1 species
UACGGAGGGGGCUAGCGUUGUUCGGAAUUACUGGGCGUAAAGCGCACGUAGGCGGCUUUGUAAGUUAGAGGUGAAAGCCCGGGGCUCAACCUCGGAAUUGCCUUCGAUACUGGCUGUCUUGAGUGCGGGAGAGGUGUGUGGAACUCCGAGUGUAGAGGUGAAAUUCGUAGAUAUUCGGAAGAACACCAGUGGCGAAGGCGACACACUGGCCCGUUACUGACGCUGAGGCGCGAAAGCGUGGGUAGCAAACAGG